CCAUUCCUCAUCCCCAUCCAUGGCACCACCUUCUGUUCUCCUCCGCGCCACAUCCGCCUCCUUCACUUCGGCUCCUAAGUUCGAUCUCCACAUCACCACAUAUGGUGUCUAUACCGCAACCGUGUCACCUUCAACCCUCCAACGAGGCUCCACUCUGCCAGACCACCUCACAGCGUCGAUUUCUGUCCAUGGCCUCGUGGUGCCAGAGCCUGUGCAGUCAUCAUCGGCCUGCUGGUGCCUAUGUUGUGAUGAUGAUGGUUGCUGCCGAUGUGGUGCCAGAGCAGGUGCGACCCUCGACGCUGGUUAGCAAAUGGGAUCUUUCCUUCCGUGAAUCCUUUUUCAGAAAUCAUUUUUUGUGGUUGCCCUUUAAUGUUUCUUUGUGUCUUUAAUUUCAUUCAUCAUUUUUUGUUGUUAGGUCUAGUUUUGAUGUCCUAUGUUUUUUAGGUCUGAAUCUCAGUUUAGAUACGAAUUGCUACUCUAUGUAUGCUACUUUAUGCUACUACCCGUUAGUGCUUUUGAUCUCUUUAUUUGUGUGGUACUUCUAUAGAUCUUAUCUUUUUUUAUAUGACUGAUAAUGAUAGUAUACUCAGUAUCAAAGAAUAUAGUUUUUGAAUUGUGUUUUUUGCUAGGUACGACAUCGCUUGUUGGCAUUCAUUUCACAGUUUGUACCAGGUUUUGUGCUCUGCUCAUACUGCAUAGUACACUAGUACUGUCUUUUUCGUGAGGUGGUUUAAAUCUGUAGGAUAACUAGAUAAGUUGUUGGUUUGCUUCUGCCUCUUGAUUUAAAUUCCUCGGUCAUUAUUUGAUCCAAUGUGGUGGGCUCUGAGCUUGCCUCACUCUUCUGUUGGGUGAUUUAUUAAGCCGUUGACAUGUUUUGCAAUUGUUUUUAUUCUUGUUCAGCACUUUGUCUAAUUCAGCGUAAGCAAAUUAGUAAUGAAAUAUGAGGUUCUUGAUGCAGACUCUGUUCAGAAAAUUUCUUUUCUAGAAACAUGUUUUUUGUUAACAAUUAUAUCCAUUUUAUACUAAAAAACCUUUCCAUUCUGCUCAUAAUAAUACUUUCUUAGUACCAUUUCAUGAACUAGGAUUUGUUUGUAAGAUGCUUUGUAGAUCUACAACUACCACUCAAUUUAUGAGAUUAUUUGUAAACUUCAUUCAGUUAUGUCUUAUGCUCAAAUGUUUUUGCCUUUUUCACAAGUUGAAGAGCACAAGUGCCUGAAUUCUGAGUUGUGGCAUGCAUGUGCCGGCUCUCUUGUUUCAUUGCCUGCGAUCGAUAGUCGAGUGAUGUAUUUUCCUCAAGGCCACGGUGAGCAGGGGUAGAGAUGGACCAUCUUCAUCUGGUCUAAAUUCCAAGGCUUGUCAUGAAAAAAUGAGGGACAAGUUGAAUGACAGGUUCCUAGAAUUAAGUUCAAUUUCAUAUCACAUUAUCAUUUGCAGCGGGCGCGACACGUGAGCGAGCGAGCAUGCGGUUGUGCGGGUGUGCGAGGUGCACGGGCGAUGACGCAGCGCUCUACAAUACAUGCGAGCAUCAACAAACGAUCUUUGCAUUGGUUUGUGCAUCAAGAAUACUUUUUAUCAGAGUUCACUCGAGGAAUGCAAGAAUUAGGAUAGCCAAUUAGAUCUUUUUUAUUGGUGUAUCCUGAGUUUCCUCUAAUAAGGAUCCUGAGUUUCCUCUAAUAAGGAUCCUAUGUCACCAGUUGGGUCAAUUUUACUAAACAUUUUUUGCCAUCAUCCUUA